rnacentral:rRNA from 1 species
CACGUAGGCACCAAGCGUUGUCCGGAUUUAUUGGGCGUAAAGAGCGUGUAGGCGGCCAGGGAGGUCCGUUGUGAAAACUCGAGGCUCAACCUCGAGACGCCGAUGGAAACCCCCUGGCUAGAGUCCGGAAGAGGAGAGUGGAAUUCCUGGUGUAGCGGUGAAAUGCGCAGAUAUCAGGAAGAACACCCGUGGCUAAGGCGGCUCUCUAGUACGGUACUGACGCUGAGACGCGAAAGCGUGGGGAGCGAACAGG